GGAGAGCUGGGAUUUUGCAGUCAAAUAGUUCAUUUCAAUUCUCCUGUCCGUUAUUUAUAAGGAUGGGAAAGCCUCCGUAAAUCCAGCGUUUGCAGUGAGUUUGUGAAUGGACUGUGUCCCUGCAUUCCCAGAAACUUUGAGGAGAUUAUUUGUUUUGAGGUCACUAUACCCACAAAAUCAUGUAACAUCUUUAUUAAGAAGAGGUCUCUAGGAAGUGCUAAAUUAUGUGAGAUAAAUUUAGUGUACCCACAUGAUUUUCAUUAUUCAGCAAUACAGAAGUUGUUGAUGAUAAAAGUAUGUAUCUACUUUAAAAAAUAGAAUUAAAGAAGUAUUUUAGUAUUUUGCUAAUCUUUUAGCCAGUUCCAUAAAGUACUUUGCCUUUAUAUUUGUACUUUUUAUGAUUUGUACUUUUUUUUCUGUCUCUCUGAUUUUCUUCUGAUGGACUUGGCCGGGCCAUGUAAAAAUCCCAAAUUAUUCAACAGUACUGGAGAGUAGAUAGUAUUUACCUCAAUAAUGGUAGUUUCUUUUCAAUUUUUUUUAACUCUCAAUUCAGAUGAUGGUUCAAAACCAACACCCACCAUGGAAACACAACCAGUUUUAGAUGGAGAAGAAAUUACAGCCCCUACCCUUUGGAUUAAACACUUGGUCAUCAAAGAUUCCAAACUGAACAGCUCUAGUAUGAAAAAUUCAG